CGGCUGGUGUUGCUGCUCCAGGGAAAGUUCUUCUACUCCACCGACUCUCUCUUUUCCUGGUAACAUGGCCAGCAAGAAAGUAAUUACAGUGUUUGGAGCAACAGGAGCUCAAGGUGGCUCUGUGGCCAGGGCAAUUUUGGAGAGCAAAAAAUUUGCAGUGAGAGCAGUGACCAGGGAUGUAACUCGACCAAAUGCCCUGGAGCUCCAGCGCCUUGGAGCUGAGGUGGUAAAAGGUGACCUGAAUGAUAAAGCAUCCGUGGACAGUGCCUUAAAAGGUGCCUAUGGGGCCUUCUUGGUGACCAACUUCUGGGACGCUCUCAACAAAGAUAAGGAAGUGUUUCAGGGGAAGCUGGUGGCAGACACUGCCAAGCAUCUGGGUCUGAAGCACGUGGUUUACAGCGGCCUGGAGAACGUCAAGCGGCUGACGGAUGGCAAGCUGCAGGUGCCGCACUUUGACAGCAAGGGCGAGGUGGAGGAGUACUUUUGGUCCACUGGCAUCCCCAUGACCAGUGUCCGCGUGGCGGCCUACUUUGAAAACUUUCUCACGGCAUGGCGGCCCGUGAAAGCCUCUGACGGAGAUUACUACACCUUGGCUGUACCAAUGGGAGAUGUACCAAUGGAUGGUAUCUCUGUUGCUGAUAUUGGAGCAGUGGUCUCUAACAUUUUUAAUUCUCCAGAGGAAUUUUUAGGCAAGGCCGUGGGGCUCAGUGCAGAAGCACUAACAGUACAGCAAUAUGCUGAUGUUUUGUCCAAGGUUUUGGGGAAGAAAGUCCGAGAUGCAAAGGUGACCAGAAAACAGUGGAAGAAGGUUUCAUGGAAGACGUGGGCUUGAGUUGGUCCUUGAGGGAACACGACUGUGUAUAGAUAGAGGGGGCACCAAGAAGGCUGGCCUGGCUGAUUCUAGAAUAAACACAACAAAAAAGAGGCAGUAUGGGAAGGAGAUUACCCCAGAAGUUUUCGAGAAGCUGGGAUUCCCUGCGGCGAAGGAAAUAGCUGAUAUGUGUCGUUUCUAUCAAAUGAAGCCGGACCGAGAUGUCAAGCUCACCCACAGACUAAAUCCCAAAGUCAAAAGCUUCAGCCAGUUUAUCUCAGAGAACCAGGGAGCCUUCAAGGGCAUGUAGAAAAUCAGCUGUUCAGAUAGGCCUCUGAACCACACAGCCUCUUUCCUCUCUGAUCUUUUUCCUCUUUACAGCACAACAUUUAUGUUGACAGAACAUGCUGGAAUGCAAUUGUUUGCAACACUGAAGGAUUUCCUGCAGUCCCCUCUUCAGUAGUAAGCACUGUGUUGGUGAUAGGACACAGUAAUCUGAUUCACAUUUAACUUGCUAGUUAGUGAUAAGGGUGGUACACCUGUUUGGUAAAAUGAGCAGCCUCGGAACUUGGAGCUUCUCCCCUAACACUAAUGGGAGGGCAGAUUUUACUGGGAUUUCUCCUGGGUGAGUGAUUUCAAGCCCUAGCGCUGAAAUUCCCCUAGGCAGCUCCAGUUUUCUCAACUGCAUUACAAAAUUCCCAGUGAACUUUUAAGUAGUUUUAAUUUUAAAAAAUGAACAUCUUUGUAGAGAAUUUUCUGGGGAACAUGGUGUUCAAUGAACAAGCACAAGCUCUGGAAAUGCUAAAAUUCAGUUUUGCUUCACGAUUGGAAGUUUAUUUUCUGAUUCAUUCAUGAAGUCAUCUAUUGAGCCACCAUUCAGUUAUUUGUCUAUUAAUUCCUUGAUCCUUCAUUUAUCCAUUCUGCAAACUUUUCUUGAGCACUAGCACGGGUGGCACAUUUGUGGACUUCACUUCAUUCCUAUGUGUUUUCUUCUCAGAGUGAUCCACUCUCAGAAAGGCUCCUUUCCAGUUUGUGGUUGGGUUGGAGUCAGGUCAGGGCCAGAGGGCCCAUCUCCCCAUUUAGCUCUAGGCAAAAUCCAGGGGAUCUGCAGUGGGGAGUGGGGACAGGAAGCUGGAGGGAAGGCCUGUGAAGGGUAGGGAUGUGGAAAGAGGAGGUGACAGAAGGACCCCAUAGGACCUUCCUAUAUCUCUGGCUUAGCAUUUUUUACAUCAUAUUGUAAUCGUCUUAUUUGCUAGUUUUCUUUCUUUCUGUGAGUGACUUACGCUCAUCUUAUCCCAGUGCCUGGUACAUAAUAAGUGAUCAAUAAAUGUUGAUUGACUAAAUGA